GGUGGGGGCGGGGAGGAAGGGCCUCUUUAAGGAAAAUAACAGAAAACCACGAGCGAGCGAGCGUGAGAUUGGUCUGGGAGCCUUAGAGCAGGUCUCACAAGAUGCCUAAGCCUGCGUUAGCUUCCUCGGGGGUCAAGCAGGCACCAGGCAGAACUUAGCCAGAAGCGGGGGUCGCGGGGGGCUCUGAAGGCACCAGCGCCGGGCAGGGAGAUAACGGGUAUCUCCACCCUUGCUGGGUAGCGAGUUCCUGAGGAAGCCCCGGAGCCUUCCUGCCGCGGCGUCCCCCAUCCACGUGCUGUCCGUGGGUCGGGGGUUUAAAGGAUGAGCCUGGCGCCUCGCGGACCCCUGGAACACAGGGCCCUGCCUGCAGCCGCCCCCCUCCCGGAGGAGGGGGGUUCUAUAGAGCCAGGGGUCCGCCCCAGGGCCUGGCUGUGGUAAGCUCUGCUAGCAGCAAGCUGUGACUUUGGAAAGUUGCAAUUUGUUCGUGGGAGCGGCUGGCACAGCUGCCUCUGGUCACAUCCCGGGGCUACGCAGCCCUCCAUCCACCCAGGGACAGGGUGGCGUUGCAAGGCAGCCAGUGCGUCGUGGAAGAAGAGGAAAAGGGAACAUCUGGAAGGUGGCGGCCCUAAGACCCCGGGGCAGUCCCGGAGGCGCAGGCAAAGUCCUGUCCAUCACGGAAGCCUGGCGCGCGCUCUAGCGCCCCACGCUCACGGACCGAAAGCUCUCGAGGGGCCAACGGCAGGGGCCGACGGCGGGCCCACGCGGCGGGCAGCCCCGCGGGCGCGCUCACCUUGCGGCCGUUCACGUAGAAGAGCAGCUCGGGCGCCGGCUCCAUGGUGACUGACGGCUGCGCGGGGCGCACGGCGGAGAGCGGGGACCGCGGUUCCGAGGAGCAGUCCAGCGGACAGCGAGCGUCCGCACCGAGGUUCGGCGUGGCGAGUGGGCGGCGAGGGAGACGCCGGGAUAAAACCGUGCGGCGCCGACGUCAGCGCGGCGCUCCCGGGGGCUGCGGGCGUUGGGCGAACCUGGCCCUGACCCGGUCACCUCCCGGCGGGCGGUGCUCAGAGGCAGCACCGCGCCCUGUGGCCUCGUGCCAGACCUCGCGUGCCAGACCUCGCUGUGGCCCUCGUGUUUUAUGACCUCGUUUAGACGGGAUUUGUCCCUCCCUCCGCAUUGUGCCUGCUGUGGGCUUGCAUGCUUCAUUGCACGCAAUCAUUUGUUCCAGCUUUGCAGGACGGAUGGUUCAAUGGCUUCGCCUUACAGGUUGAGCAAUAAUCCUUAAAGCUUGUUUUUUAAAAUCAGGGGCUAUUUUGACAUAGUGAUAUCGCUUUUUAUUUUUUAAAGAUGUUAUCAGUACUUACAGCUAUUCAGUUAUGGGAUAAUGACUAAUUAACCACAAAGUUUAUCUGGUAAAUAUUGAGAUGUAGGGUCUGUGGCAUAGCCCGUAAAGCUGCGUCCUGAGUCGCAGGCAUUCCCUAUGGGCGCCAGUUCGAGUUCCAGCUGCUCCACUUCUGAUCCAGCUCUCUGCUAUGGUCUGGGAAAGCAGCAGAAGAUGGCCCAAGUCCUUGGGCCCCUGCACCCACGUGGGAGACCGGGCUUAUGCUUGGCCUAGCUGUUGUGGCCAUCUGGGGAGUGAACCAACAGAUGGAAGAUCCCUGUCUCUCCCCCCCCCUCUGUAACUCUGCCUUUAAAUAAAUAAAUAAAUAAAAUAUUUUCAAAGAGUGA